AGAGUAUAGCUCAGUGGUAGGGUGCAUGCUUACCAUGCAUAAGGUCAUGGGUUCAAUCCCCAGCACCUCUG
rnacentral:tRNA from 1 species